rnacentral:rRNA from 1 species
GUGGGGAAUAUUGGACAAUGGGCGCAAGCCUGAUCCAGCCAUGCCGCGUGAGUGAUGAAGGCCCUAGGGUUGUAAAGCUCUUUCACCGGAGAAGAUAAUGACGGUAUCCGGAGAAGAAGCCCCGGCUAACUUCGUGCCAGCAGCCGCGGUAAUACGAAGGGGGCUAGCGUUGUUCGGAAUUACUGGGCGUAAAGCGCACGUAGGCGGACAUUUAAGUCAGGGGUGAAAUCCCGGGGCUCAACCCCGGAACUGCCUUUGAUACUGGGUGUCUGGAGUAUGGAAGAGGUAAGUGGAAUUCCGAGUGUAGAGGUGUAAUUCGUAGAUAUUCGGAGGAACACCAGUGGCGAAGGCGGCUUACUGGUCCAUUACUGACGCUGAGGUGCGAAAGCGUGGGGAGCAAACAGGAUUAGAAACCCUUGUAGUCC